rnacentral:rRNA from 1 species
AUACGGGGGGUGCGAGCGUUGUUCGGAAUUACUGGGCGUAAAGGGCGCGCAGGCGGCUUGAUAAGUCAGAUGUGAAAGCCCACGGCUCAACCGUGGAAGUGCAUCUGAAACUGUCUGGCUUGAGUACUGGAGAGGAAAGUGGAAUUCCUGGUGUAGAGGUGAAAUUCGUAGAUAUCAGGAGGAACACCGGUGGCGAAGGCGACUUUCUGGACAGAUACUGACGCUGAGGCGCGAAAGCGUGGGGAGCAAACAGGAUUAGAUACCCCAGUAGUCC